rfam:Physcomitrella patens subsp. patens PHYPAscaffold_3 genomic scaffold, whole genome shotgun sequence.
AUCAUACAUCCAAUCUAUGCAAAGCAUUGCAAUGGUCUCUAUGGAUAUUGAUAUAAUAUGAUUUUUGUUUAAUAUUCUAAAUUUCAAAAUAAAAAAAAAAAAAAAAAUGACCAAGCAUAAAUAAACAAUAUAAGUAAUUAUGAUUCUUAUAAGGUAGCCAAAUGUCUUGUCAUCUAAUUAGUGGCACACAUGAAUGGAUUAAUAAGAU